CGGGGGGGGCAAGCGUUGUUCGGAAUUACUGGGCGUAAAGGGCUCGUAGGUGGCCAACUAAGUCAGACGUGAAAUCCCCAGGCUCAACUUGGGAACUGCGUCUGAUACUGGAUGGCUUGAAUUCGGGAGAGGGAUGCAGAAUUCCAGGUGUAGCGGUGAAAUGCGUAGAUAUCUGGAGGAAUACCGGUGGCGAAGGCGGCAUCCUGGACCGAGAUUGACACUGAUGAGCGAAAGCCAGGGGAGCAAACGGGAUUAGAUACCCCGGUAGUCCUGGCCCUAAACGAUGAAUGCUUGGUGUGACGGGUAUCGAUCCCUGUCGUGCCGAAGCUAACGCAUUAAGCAUUCCGCCUGGGGAGUACGGUCGCAAGGCUG
rnacentral:rRNA from 1 species